UUUCCGUAGGUGAACCUGCGGAAGGAUCAUUAUUGUGUAACCGAGGUGCGAGGGCUGUCGCUGACCCGAAAGGUCGUGCACGCCCGAGUGCCCUCACACACAUUCAUCUCACCCCUAUGUGCACCACCGCGUGGGUCCCCCUUUGGCUUGUUCGGAGGGGGGCUUACGUUUUCACACAAACUUUGUAUGCAGUGUAGAGUGUAUUUUUUGUUUUUGCGAUCACGCAAUCAAUACAACUUUCAACAACGGAUCUCUUGGCUCUC
rnacentral:misc_RNA from 1 species